UUCCCGAGCAGAUUGCUAGUAUAUGUUAGUGAUUUUUCUACUCCCUAUGAAAGAAGUAUGCUUGAUGGUGUCUGUGUAGUGUCCUGAGAUGGAAAUAAAGACUUCUGGGUCCAUGCUAGUGUCUGCAAGGUGUUUCCCGAGCAGAUUGUUCUCUCGGGUAGAUGAAUUUCUCACGUUCUUAACCCGUCCGCUGCGAUGAAUGGUCUAUUGUUCCGCUAUCAAAUGUUGUGAGGUUAAUGGUAAAUGCUAAAUGCUCCACCAUGAAAGAGGUAUGUGUGGUUGUGAGGUUACUGUUCAUUGCUAUUUGUAUACUUGUGAGUGAAGCAAUGCACCCCCAGCGGUAUGCUCCCCAUUAUUAGUUUUGGUGCUGUUUGUGUGUGUCCGGGAUUUAUUUUCUUACACAUAACUUUUUGUCGAUAUUAGACUGCAUAUUUUAUUUAUUUAUCAUAUUUUUUGGGUGAGUAUAUCAUCAUCACCAUCAUUUUGUUUACCAUCCGUGUUCAUUCUUCCUGAGCGGCUGGACGCUUUAUGGCUCUCUUCUAUUCUACUCUGUCUUCUGCCUGAUGCUCAUCCAAUCCCAUCGGUGCCAAGUCUUCCUGUAUACACCUUCUCCACGUUUUCCUAGGUCUACCAACUGGUCUCCUUCCUUCUACCUCCAGUCUCUCCCAAACUCCCAGCACUGUAUCCUCCCCUGCUCUCUUUCUCCUCCAUUCUACUCUGUCUUCUGUCCGAUGCUCAUCCAAUCCCAUCAAUGCCAAGUCUUCCUCCACGUUUUCCUAGGUCUACCAACUGGUCUCCUUCCUUCUACCUUCAGUCUCUCCACAGCUCCCAGCACUGUAUCCUCCCCUGCUCUCUUUCUCCUCCAUCCUACUCUGUCUUCUGCCCAAUGCUCAUCCAAUCCCAUCAGUGCCAAGUCUUCCUGUACACCCCUUCUCCACAUUCUCCUAGGUCUACCAACUGGUCUCCUUCCUUCUACCUCCAGUCUCUCCACAGCUCCCAGCACUGUAUCCUCCCCUGCUCUCUUUACAUGUCCAAACCAUCGGAGUAUAUGCUGAUUAAAAACUUAUAUGUGUUGUAUAAUGUGUUGUCUAUAAAUAUACUUCUUUCAUAGAGUGAAUACAACUAGUUUUUAUUUUAUACUUUUAUGUUCUACAAAUACAAACUUUGAAACUACCAAAAAAUUACUACUGUGAGCAAAUAUACUUUUUUUUAUUAAUUAUUCCACAACCAAAGUCAACCAAAUCAACCUGCUACCAACUGUAAAUGAUUUUGAAGUUUAAUCUGAAAAUGUGUACUAUAAAAAUUUCUAAGUGAAUGUAAGUAUAUCUUUGAGUACACUGAUUAAGUAUUAAAUAUUUCUAAGUGAUUAUAAGUAUGAAUAUUUCUAAGUAAAGUGAUCUUGGAGUAAAUUGAUUAAGCACUAAAUAUUUCUAAGUGGAUAUAAGUGUAAAUAUUUAUAAGUAAACUGAUUAACUAAUACCAAGGAAACAUAUGUACACUUAAGUGCCUUCUAAGUGCUGUGAACAUUAAAAAAUCUAAUUAUCAGGUGAGAGAAAUAAAAGUGCAAAGGUGUCGAGUGAAAACAACAAAAACAAUAAUAAUAAUAAUAAUAAUAGUAAUAGUACACCUUUACCUGCAAGAGAAGGUGAGUUAGUAUCAAUAUAUACCCCGAAAGCUACCUGGAUAACCGAUAUUUACCUGUUAAUUAAGAGAGAAAGGUGUCCCCUCCAUUCUCCUCCCUUCUCUUUCCCUCCCUUUCUCUCCCCUCUAACUAAAGCAAUGUACAGAAGGGGACAAAGAGGAGGAGAGAGGGAGAAAGUGAUAUUUACCUGUUAAUUAAGAGAGAAAGGUGUUCCCUCCAUUCUCCUCCCUUCUCUUUCUCUCCCUUUCUCUCCCCUCUAACUAAAGCAAUGUACAGAAGGGGACAAAGAGGAGGAGAGAGGGUGAGAGAGAAAGGGAGAGGGAGAAAGUGAUAUAUACCUGUUAAUUAAGAGAGAAAGGUGUCCCCUCCCUUCUCUUUCUCUCCCCUCUAACUAUAGCUAUGUACAGAGAGGAGGAGAGAGGGAGAGAGAGAAAGGGAGAUGCAGAAGAGAGAGGAGGAAAAGAAGAUGGAGAGAAGAGGGGUAAUAUCUGAUUCCCUCCCCUCCCUUCUCUUCCCUUCCCCUUCCCUCCUUUCCCCUCUAAAGCAAUGCACAGAGAGGGGACAAGGAGGAGGAGAGAGGGAGAAGUGAGAGAGGAAGGGAGAGGCAGAAGAGUGACAAGGAGGAAGGAAAGGGAGGGAGAGAGGCAAAGCCGUAAACCUUAUUAUCUAUUCCCUAUUAUCUAUUGCUUGUUCUCAGUUAUAAGUGAGAAAAGUAGCCCCUAUGUAUCUAUAAGUGGCAGAAUUAAGUAGACGUUCAGUAGCCCCUCUGUAGUAAAGGCCCACCAAGUAUUUAUUAGGGUACUGAUAAUGAGUCUGAUAUUAAACUCGCAGCAUUUAACGAGGGUGUGUCUGUGUAGCAUGCAAUACAUAUACUCCGGAAAUACAAUAACUGGGGUGUAUUUUAGGGACCCUCGGCUUAUUUCUCCUUAGGGACUCAAUGUUGCCAGACUGUCGCACUCUGCCUCGUAUGCUUCCCGAUUUCCGACCCCAAAACUGCUUCCAUCACCCAAGUAACUGCCUUUAAAUAUCAUCACCUUAAACAAACCGCCUAGCUCGGUAUUUUCUACUUUACGGGAAAUAGAAAUAGAAGUGUCAUUUUCCCAUUUGUCUUAAUAUUUAGGCAGAGAUGAAAAGGCCGAUUCUAGAACACUCAAACCCUGAAUGAUGAAGGCAAAUGUACAGAAAUGGGGGUCAUGUGUUGAAAAAUUGAUGUAGAGAAAAACUUGGAAAACGCUGAAAAAUGACUUGGGCGAGUAUUUUACGAGGGUGACGAUAUGGUUAUUGUUUAAAUGGUUGAUUAUUGAUGGUUCUUGGCAACAUUUAUGGGCCAGAAGACGGUAAAUACGCAGCUCUUGAGUACGAAAAUCUGGCAACAGUGCUUAGGGUUUUGACAAUACUAAAACCAUCACUGCCCUCCUCUCCUCCAAACCCUUCCCUUGUGUUAGUUGAUGUACAUUGCUAUAUACACACACAAACACGUGCACAUAAACAAUACGCACAUACACAACAUGCACAUACACAGCACAAAGCCAUACACGAAACACACAUGCACACAUACCAACAUGCAAUUAGGAGGCAACAUGACAGACAUUUCUAUUUAUACACAAACAGAGAAAGCACAGAACCCCCCCCCCCCCCCCCAGCAAAUAUACAUGCACAAAAACACACAAUAAAAACAGGAAAAACAAGAAAACAGAAAAAAACAGAGAUAAAACACAAUAAAAGCAGACUAACAAACAAGCAAACAGGCAAACAGACAGACAAGCAGCUCUCAAGGUCGCUAUCUAGUUAGUGGCGUUAGUGGCGAUGGAGGUCACGUCAAGUCAGGUCAGGUCGUUAGUAUAUUAUGUACAGGUCAAGGUGUGAAGGGUCUGCAAUCAAGGUCAGGUGAGAGAGGAAAGGUACGGCAGGUGUUCUGAUUGAUGGCACAACAGUCUGGUAACGGCGCAACACACAGGUGAGGGGCGGACAGGUGACGGGUGACUCAGGAAGGUGUGAGGUGAAGGGGGUGAAAAUUUUGUGUUGGGUUCGGAAAUUAAAGGUGAAAAUUUUUUGUGUGUGUGUUGGGUUUGGAAAUUAAAGGCGAAAAUUUUGUGUGUGUUGGGUUUGGAAAUUAAAGGUGAAAAUUUUGUGUGUGUGUUGGGUUUGGAAAUUAAAGGUGAAAAUUUUGUGUGUGUUGGGUUCGGAAAUUAAAGGUGAAAAUUUUGUGUGUGUUGGGUUCGGAAAUUAAAGGCGAAAAUUUUGUGUGUGUGUUGGGUUCGGAAAUUAAAGGCGAAAAUUUUGUGUGUGUGUUGGGUUCGGGAAUUAAAGGUGAAAAUUUUGUGUGUGUGUUGGGUUCGGGAAUUAAAGGUGAAAAUUUUGUGUGUGUGUUGGGUUCGGGAAUUAAAGGUGAAAAUUUUGUGUGUGUGUUGGGUUCGGGAAUUAAAGGCGAAAAUUUUGUGUGUGUGUUGGGUUUGGAAAUUAAAGGCGAAAAUUUUGUGUGUGUGUUGGGUUCGGGAAUUAAAGGUGAAAAUUUUGUGUGUGUGUUGGGUUCAGAA